rnacentral:tRNA from 1 species
AAAAAGGUAAGCUAAAUAAGCUAAUGGGUUCAUACCCCAUCUAUAGAAGUCUAAUCUUCUCCUUUUUA